GGGGGUGUCAUGGUUUCGACUUGGAAACUUAGUACAAACCGCAUGCAGAGGACGUCGGUUGGCCUCUUAAAUCAUCCGGCAAAAAACAUAAAUGGCGAAAAAAUCGUCGCUCUUGACUUCAGUCAAGAGUUAGCUGCUUAGUCCUAACAGAGUAAGCAACUCGGCAGCCCAAGAAUAGACCAAGGUUCAAGGAUCGCUGUCGUAAUCGAUCUUGGUAUGGAUUGUUGAUCUCCUCACCUCUUAGAUCAACUCUCCGAGACUGAAUGGGGUGGGCCUGCAUUGGUGUCGCUCUUUGCACAGAUGCAAGUCCUAAACCAAAGAGCUAAGCAUGUAGUGGUUUCUAUGAUGUUUGCUAAGGACGAGAGUUCGAUUCUCUCCACCUCCAU
rnacentral:tmRNA from 1 species